rnacentral:lncRNA from 1 species
UGCUGAUGUGCAGUGUGGCCACGCUCCUGCGGACCAGUGGAAGUAAGAAUGGGAUGGGGAAGAUGGAGGAAGAGGAGCAAAUCGGACCAAGUCAGAAGGACAAUCUCCUGCCUGAGGGUUUCCGCAGUUACUGUGCAAGAAAGGACAGGACCUUUCUUCCAGAGCCCUACUCUUUGCCUUUCUAUUUGCAAGGCAAAUAAGAUAUCCUGUGAAGAGGACAAUGUGAAGCUUGCAUUUUUUAUGACCUGGCUGUAGAACUGGACACAUUAAAGACGGUGAUUGGGUGGAUGAACCAAUACAUGAAGCACAGAAAGUACUGAUCUAAGAGAAAAUGAUGACUUUGGUUGGCUGCCUGAUGAGUCCAGAUUACUUGUGAAGCACAUGAGUGAGUAUAUCUGGUGGACACUUAGAUAAAUGGGCAUGAAAAUUAAAAGGAAAAUAGAAAGAGA